rnacentral:rRNA from 1 species
GAGUAACGCGUGGAUAACCUGCCUCACACUGGGGGAUAACAGUUAGAAAUGACUGCUAAUACCGCAUAAGCGCACAGUGCCGCAUGGCAGUGUGUGAAAAACUCCGGUGGUGUGAGAUGGAUCCGCGUCUGAUUAGCCAGUUGGCGGGGUAACGGCCCACCAAAGCGACGAUCAGUAGCCGACCUGAGAGGGUGACCGGCCACAUUGGGACUGAGACACGGCCCAAACUCCUACGGGAGGCAGCAUG